AGCGGUGAGGCCGCUCGGGGUCGGCGUCGCCUUGAAUUUUGGGGUCGCCUCCAGUUUUGGGGUCACCACGGGGUUUGGGGUCACCACGGGGUUUGGUGUCACCACAGGGUUUGGCGUCGCCUUGAAUUUUGGCAUCACCUUGAAUUUUGGGGUCACCACAGGGUUUGGUGUCACCUCGAAUUUUGGUGUCACCUCCAAUUUUGGUGUUGCCGUGAGUUUGAGCGUUGCCAGGAGGCCGGGUGCCACCACGAAGGGCGGCGUCACCGUGACGUCCACCAUGGCGUCCAACGUCGCCAUCACCAAGAGGUUCACCAUGAGGUUCACCAUGACCAUGAGGUUCUCCAUUACCAUGAGGUUCACCAUGAGGUUCCCCAUGACCAUGAUGUUCACCAUGACCAUGACCAUGACAUUCACCAUGAGGUUCCCCAUGACCAUGAGGUUCACCAUGAGGUUCACCAUGACCACGAGGUCCACCAUGACCAUGACCAUGACGUUCACCAUGACCAUCACCAUGAGGUUCACCACAAGGUUCACCAUGACCAUGAGGUUCCCCAUGACCAUGAGGUCCACCAUGACGUUCACCAUCACCAUGAGGUUCAUCAUGACCAUGACCAUGACGUUCACCAUCACCACAAGGUUCACCAUGCCCAUGCCGUUGACCACCACCACCACGUUCCCCACCACCACGAGGCCCCCCACCAGGUUCCCCCCCA
rnacentral:lncRNA from 1 species